rnacentral:rRNA from 1 species
GACGAACCGUGCGAACGUUGUUCGGAAUCACUGGGCUUAAGGACGGCGUAGCGGCCGACCAAGUCCGGGGUGAAAGCCCCCAGCUCAACUGGGGAAGUGCCUCGGAUACUGGCCGGCUCGGAGGGAGGUAGGGGCGGAUGGAACUUCCGGUGGAGCGGUGAAAUGCGUUGAUAUCGGAAGGAACGCCGGUGGCGAAAGCGAUCCGCUGGCCCUCUACUGACGCUGGAGGCGCGAAAGCCAGGGGAGCAA